AAGCUGGAGCAUCUACCAUCGACCAGCUAGCCACCAAGCCCCAGCGGCAUCCAUCUGCCGCAAGUCUCUUCAGUUUCUUCAGAUGGAUGAUCAAGGCAGGAUGAUAGACUUUGGUAUUCAAGGCCAUGAGUUCAGUCAAAGGACUACAAUACCUUGUCCAAAUAUUGGUCACCAUCAGGACAAUGGACUUGAUGACCUGGAGUUUACUCAAGGAGCUACAGGACACCAAACAAAUAUUGGUCAGGACAAUGGACUUGAUGACUUGGAGUUCAGUCAAAGGAUCAUAGGAC